GAUGAACGCUGGCGGCGUGCCUAAUACAUGCAAGUCGAGCGAACGGACGAGAAGCUUGCUUCUCUGAUGUUAGCGGCGGACGGGUGAGUAACACGUGGAUAACCUACCUAUAAGACUGGGAUAACUUCGGGAAACCGGAGCUAAUACCGGAUAAUAUUUUGAACCGCAUGGUUCAAAAGUGAAAGACGGUCUUGCUGUCACUUAUAGAUGGAUCCGCGCUGCAUUAGCUAGUUGGUAAGGUAACGGCUUACCAAGGCAACGAUGCAUAGCCGACCUGAGAGGGUGAUCGGCCACACUGGAACUGAGACACGGUCCAGACUCCUACGGGAGGCAGCAGUAGGGAAUCUUCCGCAAUGGGCGAAAGCCUGACGGAGCAACGCCGCGUGAGUGAUGAAGGUCUUCGGAUCGUAAAACUCUGUUAUUAGGGAAGAACAUAUGUGUAAGUAACUGUGCACAUCUUGACGGUACCUAAUCAGAAAGCCACGGCUAACUACGUGCCAGCAGCCGCGGUAAUACGUAGGUGGCAAGCGUUAUCCGGAAUUAUUGGGCGUAAAGCGCGCGUAGGCGGUUUUUUAAGUCUGAUGUGAAAGCCCACGGCUCAACCGUGGAGGGUCAUUGGAAACUGGAAAACUUGAGUGCAGAAGAGGAAAGUGGAAUUCCAUGUGUAGCGGUGAAAUGCGCAGAGAUAUGGAGGAACACCAGUGGCGAAGGCGACUUUCUGGUCUGUAACUGACGCUGAUGUGCGAAAGCGUGGGGAUCAAACAGGAUUAGAUACCCUGGUAGUCCACGCCGUAAACGAUGAGUGCUAAGUGUUAGGGGGUUUCCGCCCCUUAGUGCUGCAGCUAACGCAUUAAGCACUCCGCCUGGGGAGUACGACCGCAAGGUUGAAACUCAAAGGAAUUGACGGGGACCCGCACAAGCGGUGGAGCAUGUGGUUUAAUUCGAAGCAACGCGAAGAACCUUACCAAAUCUUGACAUCCUUUGACAACUCUAGAGAUAGAGCCUUCCCCUUCGGGGGACAAAGUGACAGGUGGUGCAUGGUUGUCGUCAGCUCGUGUCGUGAGAUGUUGGGUUAAGUCCCGCAACGAGCGCAACCCUUAAGCUUAGUUGCCAUCAUUAAGUUGGGCACUCUAAGUUGACUGCCGGUGACAAACCGGAGGAAGGUGGGGAUGACGUCAAAUCAUCAUGCCCCUUAUGAUUUGGGCUACACACGUGCUACAAUGGACAAUACAAAGGGCAGCGAAACCGCGAGGUCAAGCAAAUCCCAUAAAGUUGUUCUCAGUUCGGAUUGUAGUCUGCAACUCGACUACAUGAAGCUGGAAUCGCUAGUAAUCGUAGGUCAGCAUGCUACGGUGAAUACGUUCCCGGGUCU
rnacentral:rRNA from 1 species